UACAGAGGCCUCGAGCGUUGUUCGGAAUUACUGGGCGUAAAGCGAAUGUAGGUGGUGACGUAAGUCAGAUGUGAAAGCCCAGGGCUUAACCCUGGAAAUGCAUUUGAUACUGCGUUGCUAGAGUAUGAUAGAGGAAAGGGGAAUUCCUAGUGUAGGAGUGAAAUCCGUAGAUAUUAGGAGGAAUACCAAUGGCGAAGGCACCUUUCUGGUUCAUCACUGACACUGAGAUUCGACAGCGUGGGGAGCAAACAGG
rnacentral:rRNA from 1 species